GAUGAACGCUGGCGGCGUGCCUAAUACAUGCAAGUCGAGCGAACAGACGAGGAGCUUGCUCCUCUGACGUUAGCGGCGGACGGGUGAGUAACACGUGGAUAACCUACCUAUAAGUCUGGGAUAACUUCGGGAAACAGGAGAUACUACCGGAUAAUAUAUUGAACCGCAUGGUUCAAUAGUGAAUGACGGUUUUGCUGUCACUAAUAGAUGGAUCCGCGCCGCAUUAGCUAGUUGGUAAGGUAACGGCUUACCAAGGCAACGAUGCGUAGCCGACCUGAGAGGGUGAUCGGCCACACUGGAACUGAGACACGGUCCAGACUCCUACGGGAGGCAGCAGUAGGGAAUAUUCCGCAAUGGGCGAAAGCCUGACGCAGCAACGCCGCGUGAGUGAUGAAGGUCUUCGGAUCGUAAAGCUCUGUUGUUGGGGAAGAACAAAUGUGGAAUUAACUAUGCACGUCUUGACGGUACCUAAUCAGAAAGCCACGGCUAACUACGUG
rnacentral:rRNA from 1 species